rnacentral:rRNA from 1 species
GAUGAACGCUAGCUACAGGCUUAACACAUGCAAGUCGAGGGGAAACGGCAUUGAGUGCUUGCACUCUUUGGACGUCGACCGGCGCACGGGUGAGUAACGCGUAUCCAACCUUCCCAUUACUGUGGGAUAACCUGCCGAAAGGCAGACUAAUACCGCAUAGUCUUCGAUGACGGCAUCAGAUUUGAAGUAAAGAUUUAUCGGUAAUGGAUGGGGAUGCGUCUGAUUAGCUUGUUGGCGGGGUAACGGCCCACCAAGGCUACGAUCAGUAGGGGUUCUGAGAGGAAGGUCCCCCACAUUGGAACUGAGACACGGUCCAAACUCCUACGGGAGGCAGCAGUGAGGAAUAUUGGUCAAUGGACGGAAGUCUGAACCAGCCAAGUAGCGUGCAGGAUGACGGCCCUAUGGGUUGUAAACUGCUUUUGUAUGGGGAUAAAGUUAGGGACGUGUCCCUAUUUGCAGGUACCAUACGAAUAAGGACCGGCUAAUUCCGUG